UGCAGCUGGAAGCAGAACCAGGAGGUCUCCCUGAGAUCUUCACCUUUCCUGCUUGAUAAACAGGAGCUUUGGAAGCAUUCCCUGUCCUCUGCUGCACUGGAGAUGUUCUGUGCUGAGAAGAGAAUACCAGCUUGCUUUGCCAGUGUGAAGAGACAGAGGAACCCAUGGAGAUUCGGUGAGAAUUUAAACAGAACAUAUUGAGGGCUGCACUGACAACUGUGGAUACAAAGUAGAUGAAAAAUGAGUGCUGGAGCAGCAAUGGUGCUAUGGAUUCAGAAGGGAUCUCUGAAGUGGCUAGCACAGGCACAGCUAUAAUGGCUCAACCUGCUCCUCCCUUGCACCCCCAUCUCCUGUUCUACUUCUUUAUGCGAGCUUUUACUGUUCAGAGCAGCUGGUUGCCGUCGAUACCAAUUUGAGCAACUCUCUAAAGUGCAUGACAAAGCAAAUCUCAUGUACCUUCUUGAAUGAAGAAUGUUGAAUUCCUCCACAUUCUAGAAAUGCACCCCUUCUUUAUGCUCGUUUAUCUUUAAAAGUGCUAGCACAAACUAGAUUAUAAAGACAGUUGUUUUCCUUGAUGUCUGUCAUGUUAGCAUCAUAUGUAAUUUACACUUUUUUGUCAUUUUGCAAGAUCUUCUGCAAUUUCUUUGCAUAAUUAGAGUGUGGCCUAUGCAGUUUGGAGCCUACUGUUCAGCUGAGGGUCUUGGUCUAGUAGACACAAAUUCACUGAUGUCACUGAAAUGACGGUCUCUAUAAUUGCCUAGGAAGAUAUCUACAGAGUUGCAGGAAAGAGAAGAACAGUAAGAGGGAACACAUUAUCUUCUUUGUGGAUGUCUAGAGACAAGCAUGUCUGGCAGUCAUGGUGUUGAACUCAAAAUAGAUUUACCCAGCACAGAAAAGGCAAAAGGAAGAAGAACAUUCUUAUAUGCCAAAUACUGAAUUUCUCUUCCAGAAUUCUACCAGCAUCAGAAUAUUACACCAUAAACAAGUUAACAUUACUGCAUCAAUUAGAAAAUGUAUGCAACUGACUGGUCUGUGUCAUCUUUUAGGCCUCAAGAAUACCAGAAAAUUAAACAAAAGGUCCUGGAACCUAACAGAUGCAAAGGCUGAAAACUUCACUGAGAUUUUACAAGAGACUCCCUAUCAAAAUGGUUUGAAUCAGUGGCUUUGAGUUUAUUCAGGUUAGAAAUGCACUAUAAAUCCUCCAAGAUGACUUAAACUCCCACUGGAAAUUUAUGUUUAUGCACAAGAAAUUUCUUUUCCUGCGAAUCCUCAGAAGUUCAUAAACCAACAAAAGCUUUUGGACUACAUAUUGAAACAAGUAUGAAGCAGAACUUAGGAAUAAAUGACCUUUUCUUGGAGUAGGUGAAUAUCGC
rnacentral:lncRNA from 1 species